GACGAACGCUGGCGGCGUGCUUAACACAUGCAAGUCGAACGAAGUGGCGAACGGGUGAGUAACGCGUAAUCAACCUGCCCUUCAGAGGGGGACAACAGUUGGAAACGACUGCUAAUACCGCAUACUGAAGGAGGGGAUUGCGUAUGAUUAGCUAGUUGGAGGGGUAACGGCCCCACAAGGCGAUGAUCAGUAGCCGGUCUUGAGUGAUGGACGGCCACAUUGGGACGUGGAAACGGGCCAGACUUCUACGGGGGGGAGCAGUGGGGAAUCUUCCGCAAUGGACGAAAGUCUGACGGAACAACGCCGCGUGAGUGAUGACAGGCUUCGGGUUGUAAAGCUCUGUUAAUCGGGACGCGGUACCGGAAUAGAAAGCCACGGCUAACUACGUGCCAGCAGCCGCGGUAAUAC
rnacentral:rRNA from 1 species